CCUUUGCUGCAUCUCCUCUUUUCCAGCGAUUUCCUUUACUGCAUCUCCUCUUUUCCAGCUAUGGUUUGCCCCCAUAUGUCGCUGUCCGGGUGCUCUGUGCCUUCCUUUCGUGCCACCUGAAGAAGUUCCUGAAGUGUUUAUUGUUCUCCUCGAUGAGGAUUGCUUCAGGCGGAUGGUGAGUUGUAUUAAUCAUUUCUUUAUAACUUUACUUAUUUUGUAGGUAUCAAUCUAUGUGUAUGUGUUUACUCAGCCACUGCAAUUCUUUUGUAUAAUCAUGGCUAAUAUGAAACUUGUGUAUUUUAUGGGUUGUUCCCCAUCCCAUGUGUAGGUUGUCUUUGUUUGCAGUUAUAUAAAUGGAACAAUAAUUUGUCUUUG